AAUUGAAAGUAAAAAUACAUGUAUUUAGGAGUAUUUAAUUUGCAUGUUAUAGGACCUUGUUAAGAAAUUUUCUUUUUCUCUUUUCUUAUAUAAAAUGAUAAUGUUAAACAGUCAACUAAAGGAUAAGCUGAGAAAAGUGGCUCGAAAAGGAAUAGCACUCUGCUUUGUUCAAAUGGAUGGAUAGGAUCUGCGGGGGCGCCUAAAGUAGCUUCUUAAAGCCUCAACCUGCGCCAAAGCUAUCAAUCAGCUUAUAAGACUUCGCUACUCUGUUCCACAGACGACGAGGCCGGGAAAUAGAACAAGUUUGGUAGAAAAUGGCAGAAGAAGACAUUAAGAAACAACUGGCUGAGAAAACUGCCGAGGCAGCUUCUUUGAAAGAAGAUCUAUCGAAGAAAGCUGCCGAAGUUACUAGUCUGCAAACACAAUGUGACGAAUUACGGCAAAAAUUGGAGCAGGUUCUGAAGCUGGCAGGAGACGGGAAGGAGGACCUGUUAGCUAAGAUACCAGGUGGCCUUGGCGGCAUGUUGGGCGCUGAAUCCAAAGAGGAAGAAAAACCAGCGGACGCUGCUAAAGAAGCUGCUGAAGAUGCUGCAGACGCUGCCAAAACUGCGCUCGCAUCUAUUUUUUAAUGAACACAAUUGUAUUGAUUAGCACAACGGCGUAAUAGGCCAAUCGAUCUCACAAUGAAUCGAAUUUUUUUCGUUAUUUCAUCAUUCUUUCGAACGAAGAUAAUAGUGGAUUUAAUUUUUUCAAUUUAGAGACUGAUGCUAGUUAUCCUGAAAUAUAUGCGAGGUUUGGUAUAUACGUUAGUUAAACUGUUUUACUCAAGUAGUUUUAAGGAGGAUUUUUCGCAUGCGAGCAUUGACUUCUUAGAAUUUACCUCAGACAUUUUUUGUUGUGAGCUUAAAGCUAACUGAAAAUUCCACCCAGAAAGGAUUCUAAAGUCAUUGAUAUUGGUUAUGAUAUUUCUCGCUUGUAAAUCAUUUUUGACUAUGGUAAAUUUGUUUCAAUAAAUGCAUAAUUUUCUGCAAUGUAGUCGACUGCUGGAGUGCAAAGCUAUCGCUUAAGACGCUUGCAGAUCAGUACAAUUUGUUUAUGAAACGAAACGUAUCGAACUCGAUGAAGUGAAAUGCAUCGACUGUCUGUUUGUGCAGGAAAGGUAAGGUCAGUUCACAAAUAAAAAUAAUGCAGAAUUACGUAGUUUUGUAGCCUUACAGCGAUCCUAACUGCAACACCUCUAAAUUUCGUUUUCAAGCUGUCUCUUGAAGAUUUUAAUCAAAGAAACCAAGACAAGUCCCUCAGCUUUUCUAUAACUCAAGCGAAAGAGACCAUCAAUGCGAAGAAAAAAAAGAAACAAACUUUCAAAAGCACCUCCAUUUGUUAAAAGAAAUAUCUGUUAAGUACUUGAUAUUAAAUAAAAUGUCGCGUAUUAUGCGUGGUUAUCAA